GCUGCCUCCCCCAGUCUGGGCAAAGCUUCACGGGUACUUCACAGAUUCCAGCCCAUCUGUGCACCUGCUUUUAGACUCCUUUUAUGCUUACUACAGCGCUGAAGGCAGAGACCCCAAGAUUCAUGUGAGGCCCAAGCAAUACCAGCUAAGAUUGCCCCUCAAAGUCAGGGAAGCCUCAUGGACAGAGAAGCCUGACAGGCUACAGUUCAUGGGAUUCUCCAGGCAAGAAUAUUGGAGUGGAUUGCCAUUUCCUUCUCCAGGGGAUCUUUUCAACCCAGGAAUUGAACCUGGGUAUCCUGCAUUGUAGGCAGAUUCUUUACCAACUCAGCAACAAGAAAAAAAAGUGGAACAGAAUAUAGGGAAAGAAAGGUCAGCGUUGAGCAACGGGAUGAUGAAAAGCAAUCAUAGCACCAGAUGCCUCUUCUGAUGACAGCAGCAGCACUGACAAAUGCAAUCAUUCUGCCUCUGUGUGGGUUCUGAAGAAAACUCCAAGGAAGUCUGUCCUCAACGAAGUCACUUACCUUC
ensembl:lncRNA